GUAAAUAUAGUUUAUAAAAACAUUAGACUGUGAAUCUAAUAAUAGGAAUCUUAUUUCCUUAUUUACC
rnacentral:tRNA from 1 species